AACCCAUGAUGUGGAACAUCGAUCAGAAGAUCUUUGAACCUCUCCCAAGCUGCAUGUAGAGAUUCGCCUUCGUCCUGUUUGAAUGUCAUAAUACGAUUCUUAAGCUU
rfam:Helianthus annuus linkage group 9, whole genome shotgun sequence.